GUUGCUGUCUUAGUUCUGUUCAUUUAGUCGCAUAACUCGGCCCUUUGUGGCGAGUUAUUCUCUGCGUUUCUUUGAACCUUGCUUUUCUGGACUUGGCUUGAGCUCGUAUACCUUUUCGAGACUCCUGCCUGUCCUCCCUGCUUCCCUGCGUUUGGGUCCUUGACUUUUUUGCCACAAAAACCUGCAAACUGUGAUAGAUUGCGGUGUGUUGUGCUCGUGAGUACAUGACUUUUGCAAAGGCCGAGAUUUCAUCAAGGAAGAGGCGGGUGUAUGUCAUGCUGUCUUCGAGCAUCAUCAGCGAGGAAGGACACAUGACUCCAUCCAGAGGCUUUCACUGGUACUGCACGAAGGUGUAAACCGCGGAGUGAGUUGAUUCUCCUGCCUCGAUCAUCCGCACGGAGACUUCCUGAAUCUCAGCGGUGGUCACCAGAUGGUGCUGCAAAGGCAGGUUUGAUCAAUGAACGCCUGCUCCACUCAGUUGGGGUAAAAGUCGCUGAUGCUGGCCGUAAAUCUACUUCAAGAGGAGGAAGGCAGUUGCGUUGGAGAGACGAAUGAUGCUCGGUACUUUGGAAAUGAAAGAUGGCCUAGCCUUACUUGCUGGAGUUGUCCUCUUUGUUGGAGACCAUCCUUACUGGUCUCAUCAGAUUGCUCAUCUAUUCUAAUUAGUUGACAUUUGCAAAAUAACGAUAGGCAAUUUGUCAGGGAUGUGUUUCUUGAACUCAAAAGCUCGGUGUACAAGACCCUUCUUCUUUAGAUUAUGAUGAUUAUGAUGAUGAUGAUUUAUUGCCUCAUGACUCAGCUUUUGUAGUAGUACCGUGCAGCAGUGACUGAACAUGACACAGUGAAAGCUCAGAACUCUUUGGGUUGGUUUAGUUGAGUUGAGUGCAAAAAUGAUUUUCAAUACACCGUGUCCUGAUUCUGAUUGACCGUAAGGAAAAUACAUUGAGGUCACCAACGGUGACGGUUGCAAAUUGUGACCACCAUUUUCUGAGCUCAAAGAUCACGUGAAAUUGUCUCACUGAGAUCCAAGAUCUCUUCUUGAGUAUAAAUGUGUCCAGAUGAAUCCUAUUAUUAUUAUUUUUUUACAUUUUUGGUUGGUAAGAGGCAAACUUGUUACAGCCAAGUUCUACGAGCAAAACACGGCUGUAAGCCAUCUGCACACAUUCCUAUACUGUAUUUAGCAAUCAGCAUGUCGGGUGAGACUGCAUUUUGUUUUUUUUGGUACAUUUUUUUUAUGCAUUUGUCAUGACUCUGAACUGAUGGGAACGAUUGAAGCGACUCAGCUGUGUGCUUUUCGUAUCGUAUUGCUCGUUAAGUUCGACACCGCUUCAAACUACAGCUACAAAAAUAAACAUUGGAAAAUUCAAACCUCACAAAAGUGAGCAUUGUUAGAUUGUACACAAUUUUCAAGAAAAAGCUGAAAUGAAAUACAAAUAAAUCAAAAAUAAG